rnacentral:rRNA from 1 species
UAGGGAAUCUUCGGCAAUGGACGAAAGUCUGACCGAGCAACGCCGCGUGAGUGAAGAAGGUUUUCGGAUCGUAAAACUCUGUUGUUAGAGAAGAACAAGGACGUUAGUAACUGAACGUCCCCUGACGGUAUCUAACCAGAAAGCCACGGCUAACUACGUGCCAGCAGCCGCGGUAAUACGUAGGUGGCAAGCGUUGUCCGGAGUUAUUGGGCGUAAAGCGAGCGCAGGCGGUUUCUUAAGCCUGAUGUGAAAGCCCCCGGCUCAACCGGGGAGGGUCAUUCGAAACUGGGAGACUUGAGUGCAGAAGAGGGAGGUGGAAUUCCAUGUGUAGCGGUGAAAUGCGUAACUCUAUGGAGGAACCCCAGUGGCGAAGGCGGCUCUCUCGUCUGUAACUGCCGCUGAGGCUCGCAAGCGUGGGGAGCAAACAGG